UCCAUCACAAACGAGAGUAACAAUACGAGGGAGAAUAAAAGGAAGAGGGAGAAUGACCAAUAACCUUCAAGAUUAUCCUUACAACCAUGCCCAAAAACAUUCUGGAUGACAAGCGCUGCCAGGCACAAUGGAGCAUUCCGAAUAGUGCCUUCUUGGAG